rnacentral:rRNA from 1 species
GAUGAACGCUAGCGGCAGGCCUAACACAUGCAAGUCGAGGGAGAGGUUAUCUUCGGGUAACCAAAACCGGCGCACGGGUGCGUAACGCGUAUACAAUCUGCCUUUCACAUAGGGAUAGCCCGAAGAAAUUUGGAUUAAUACCUAAUGGUAUAUAGGAGCGGCAUCGUUUUUAUAUUAAAGCUACGGUGGUGAAAGAUGAGUAUGCGUUCUAUUAGCUAGUUGGAGAGGUAACGGCUCCCCAAGGCGACGAUAGAUAGGGGUUCUGAGAGGGAUGUCCCCCACACUGGUACUGAGAUACGGACCAGACUCCUACGGGAGGCAGCAGUGAGGAAUAUUGGACAAUGGUCGGAAGACUGAUCCAGCCAUGCCGCGUGCAGGAUGAAGGUCCUAUGGAUUGUAAACUGCUUUUGUAAGGGAAGAAUAAGGAGUACGUGUACUUUGAUGACGGUACCUUACGAAUAAGCAUCGGCUAACUCCGUGCCAGCAGCCGCGGUAAUACGGAGGAUGCGAGCGUUAUCCGGAAUCAUUGGGUUUAAAGGGUCCGUAGGCGGGCUGAUAAGUCAGAGGUGAAAGCGCUUAGCUCAACUAAGCAACUGCCUUUGAAACUGUCAGUCUUGAAUGAUUGUGAAGUAGUUGGAAUGUGUAGUGUAGCGGUGAAAUGCUUAGAUAUUACACAGAACACCGAUAGCGAAGGCAUAUUACUAACAACUUAUUGACGCUGAUGGACGAAAGCGUGGGGAGCGAACAGG